rnacentral:rRNA from 1 species
UACGUAGGGUGCAAGCGUUAAUCGGAAUUACUGGGCGUAAAGCGUGCGCAGGCGGCCAUGCAAGACAGAUGUGAAAUCCCCGGGCUCAACCUGGGAACUGCAUUUGUGACUGCAUGGCUAGAGUGCGGCAGAGGGGGAUGGAAUUCCACGUGCAGCAGUGAAAUGCGUAGAGAUGUGGAGGAAUACCGAUGGCGAAGGCAGCCCCCUGGGUCAAUACUGACGCUCAUGCACGAAAGCGUGGGGAGCAAACAGG